CUUGUAUUGGAAUCUUUGCAAGGCCUUUCAUAUUUAACAGGGAACUCUCACAAUUACUUGACUUUGAACAUCCUUGAUCUGAGAUAGUUUUAGAGUUUUUAUACAGCCAUCUGUCAGAUUUGGGGAAAAGGAAGUAAAGGAAUUUAAUACAGAUUUAGUAAUUACUGCUGUAAGCAGGACUUCACAAUUGAAAGUGCUGGAUAUUACUGUCAAAAACACUUUUUAAAAAGCUCAAUACUGCAAAUAAUUUCCUUGUACAAGAAGAUGAAGAAUAUACUGUUUUAAGAACAAUUUUCAAAACCAUCUGCCCUAAUGUUACUUAACCUUUUCAUGCCUCUGCUCCAUCAAAUAUAAAACAGGAAUACAGAAGAGCACCCACCACAGAGGCCCAGUGUGGAGACGAGAGAGUUGUAUAUGUGAAGUGCUUUUAGAAGAGUACUUACCAAAAAUAAAGCACUUAAAGUGUUUGCCACUAUUUUAUUCGUAUGAAGUCAGAUUACACCUGCUUCUUGCUUUUAUGUUUUUCCCUGAGUGUGUAUGUUAAACAGGUACCUCAUUCUUCCUGACAGCUACAUGGUGUGUCGGAGUAUGGACAUACCACGGAAGCAAGAACCACCGAGGAAGUGUACCAGUGAGAGCUGGAGUUGCAGGCCUUUCACAGAAAAAGUUUGCUGACCUCAGUUCCAGCCUAUUCAAGAAGCAACCGGAAAUAACCGCAAACAACUAUUCACUGCCGGACACUGCUGGCAGAGGAGCACAGCAGUAAUGCUGAUGGGAAGAAGGUGCUGACAGAUGGACUCACUGGGGUCACAGCAAUAAUCGACAGUACAAGUGGCAAACAUUGUGUAAAAUACUCCAAAUCCAAGACACACAUUUAUAAGAAAGUCUGUAACAGGUCAAAGAAUAAACUCCAGCUGCCCUCAAGACCUAGGGCAGGGAGACCUCCUUGACUGCUUCGUCAGGCCCACUGGGGCCCACACGUACUUGAAGUUAACUGAGGAACUCUACUUCCUUGGAAAUCCCCACUGCUCCUCCAGCAGAGGUGGGCCAGACACCGCUCCUCCAGCAGAGGUGGGCCAGACACCGCUCCUCCAGCAGAGGUGGGUUGGACGCUGCUCCUGGCAAAGCUGGCCAGAAGAUGCAGCCCGUGGGACACUCCCCACCACCACUCUCACUGUCUGACCCACUGCGAAGCUUCACAGAGCAGAAGGCUCAUUCCUCACAACAAAAGGAAAACCCUGGUCUGACACGACUGUUCUGAAAUUUAACAGUAAGUCUCCACAUGCUAUUUCUUUCUUAAUUUCGAUAUAAAGAUGUCAUGUUUUGCUCAUUUGUCUUAAUAGAUGAGGAUAUGAUCUGAGUUUGAGGAAUGAUAAAUAAGUUACAGGAAUAUAGGCACAUGUACAUUCAUUAGAUGCAGCUACGCGCCAAAGGACAUUCCAAAACACAUCCUUAUCAGUGCAGAAAUUCUGAAUUAAAAUCACUCAAAAUUUUUCUUGAUGUAAGAAAUAUUUUGCUUAAAAUUUAUCAGAAAGUUAUUUCUAUUUUCAAAAGGUCACUUUAAAAUUUUUGUA